rnacentral:rRNA from 1 species
AUUGAACGCUGGCGGCAGGCCUAACACAUGCAAUUCGAGCGGAUGAAGGGAGCUUUCUCCUGGAUUCAGCGGCGGACGGGUGAGUAAUGCCUAGGAAUCUGCCUGGUAGUGGGGUAUAACGUCCGGAAACGUGCGCUAAUACCGCAUACGUCCUGAUGGAGAAAGUGGAGGAUCUUCGGACCUCACGCUAUCAGAUGAGCCUAGGUCGGAUUAGCUAGUUGGUGGGGUAAAGGCCUACCAAAGCGACGAUCCGUAACUGGUCUGAGAGGAUGAUCAGUCACACUGGAACUGAGACACGGUCCAGACCCCUACGGGGCGCAGCAGUGGGGAAGAUUGGACAAUGGGCGAAAGCCUGCUCCAGCCAUGCCGCGUGUGUGAAGAAGGUCUUCGGAUUGUAAAGCAAUUUAAGUUGGGAGGAAGGGCAGUAAGUUAAUACCUUGCUGUUUUGACGUUACCAACAGAAUAAGCACCGGCUAACUUCGUG